rnacentral:lncRNA from 1 species
GAAGUUCUGCUUUCUGUUCCCUGAUCAGGGACCAGAGAGGGGCAAAAUCUUCCUUUGAUCCUAACUCCCUAUUUUUUAUUUUUCCUCUUUCUUGAUCCCCUUGCCUACUUUUCAGAUUUAGCCUCACCUUGUAAGUGCUUCCUUUCUGAGGUCUAGGUAAGAAAGAUUGAGAUUCCAUCCGCACUAGACAAACCCAGCAGUCCGGAGCAGUCAAGACAGGUUGGAGGAACAAAGGAAGGAGGUCAUGUUACCAGUUUCUAAGGCUUGGGGUCAUCUGGAAGAAGCUGGAAUCACAGUACAGGUGGAAUGGAAGUGCAAUGGAAGAAGUGGAACCACAGUGAAGCAUGUUCCAGAAGGCCAGGGCGGUCGGUUCUGCUGCACAAAUGAGAUCAGAGCAAUCAAGAGAGCCAAGGAAGUCCUACUUAUCUGGAUUAAAUAACUCAAUCUACAAACUACUCAACUUUGGCAGAAGGCAAGUGAGCAAUUAAAAAUAAAUCUUUCAUGAUUUACUCCCACAGGCAAAAAAUAUAA